rnacentral:rRNA from 1 species
GAUGAACGCUGGCGGCGUGCCUAAUACAUGCAAGUCGAGCGAACGGACGAGAAGCUUGCUUUUCUGAUGUUAGCGGCGGACGGGUGAGUAACACGUGGAUAACCUACCUAUAAGACUGGGAUAACUUCGGGAAACCGGAGCUAAUACCGGAUAAUAUUUUGAACCGCAUGGUUCAUAAGUGAAAGACGGUCUUGCUGUCACUUAUAGAUGGAUCCGCGCUGCAUUAGCUAGUUGGUAAGGUAACGGCUUACCAAGGCAACGAUGCAUAGCCGACCUGAGAGGGUGAUCGGCCACACUGGAACUGAGACACGGUCCAGACUCCUACGGGAGGCAGCAGUAGGGAAUCUUCCGCAAUGGGCGAAAGCCUGACGGAGCACGCCGCGUGAGUGAUGAAGGUCUUCGGAUCGUAAAACUCUGUUAUUAGGGAAGAACAUAUGUGUAAGUAACUGUGCACAUCUUGACGGUACCUAAUCAGAAAGCCACGGCUAACUACGUG